rnacentral:rRNA from 2 species
AGCAGCCGCGGUAAUUCCAGCUCCAAUAGCGUAUAUUAAAGUUGUUGCAGUUAAAAAGCUCGUAGUUGAAUUUCGGGAUCAGUACGCUGGUCGUGCCUUUGGUAUGUACUGGUGUCACUGAUUCCUCCCUUCUGAAGAACCGUUAUGCCAUUUAUUUGGUGUGGCGGGAAAUCAGGACUGUUACUUUGAAAAAUUAGAGUGUUUAAAGCAGGCUCGCGCUUGAAUACAUUAGCAUGGAAUAAUGAAAUAGGACGUUUGAUCUUAUUUUGUUGGUUUCUAGGAUCGACGUAAUGAUUAAUAGGGAUAGUUGGGGGCAUUAGUAUUCAAUUGUCAGAGGUGAAAUUCUUGGAUUUAUUGAAGACUAACUACUGCGAAAGCAUUUGCCAAGGAUGUUUUCAUUAAUCAAGAACGAAAGUUAGGGGAUCGAAGACGAUCAGAUACCGUCGUAGU